GUGAAGCGGGAAAAGCUCAAAUUUAAAAUCUGGCGGUCUUUGGCCGUCCGAGUUGUAGUCUGGAGAAGCGUCUUCCGCGCUGGACCGUGUACAAGUCUCUUGGAACAGAGCGUCAUAGAGGGUGAGAAUCCCGUCUUUGACACGGACUACCAGUGCUUUGUGAUGCGCUCUCAAAGAGUCGCGUUGUUUGGGAAUGCAGCGCAAAAUGGGAGGUGAAUUCCUUCUAAAGCUAAAUAUUGGCGAGAGACCGAUAGCGAACAAGUACCGUGAGGGAAAGAUGAAAAGCACUUUGGAAAGAGAGUUAAACAGUACGUGAAAUUGCUGAAAGGGAAACGCUUGAAGUCAGUCGCGUCGUCCGGAACUCAGCCUUGCUUCGGCUUGGUGCACUUUCCGGUUGACGGGCCAGCAUCGAUUUUGACCGCUGGAAAAGGGCUGGAGGAAUGUGGCACCUUCGGGUGUGUUAUAGCCUUCAGUCGCAUACAGCGGUUGGGAUCGAGGAACGCAGCGCGCCUUAUGGCUGGGGUUCGCCCACAUUCGCGCUUAGGAUGCUGGCAUAAUGGCUUUAAACGACCCGUCUUGAAACACGGACCAAGGAGUCUAACAUGCCUGCGAGUGUUUGGGUGGAAAACCCGAGCGCGUAAUGAAAGUGAAAGUUGAGACCUCUGUCGUGGAGGGCAUCGACGCCCGGACCUGAAGUUUUCUGACGGAUCCGCGGUAGAGCAUGUAUGUUGGGACCCGAAAGAUGGUGAACUAUGCCUGAAUAGGGUGAAGCCAGAGGAAACUCUGGUGGAGGCUCGUAGCGAUUCUGACGUGCAAUCGAUCGUCAAAUUUGGGUAUAG
rnacentral:rRNA from 1 species